rnacentral:rRNA from 1 species
GACGAACGCUGGCGGCGUGCUUAACACAUGCAAGUCGAACGGAAAGGCCCUGCUUUUGUGGGGUGCUCGAGUGGCGAACGGGUGAGUAACACGUGAGUAACCUGCCCUUGACUUUGGGAUAACUUCAGGAAACUGGGGCUAAUACCGGAUAGGAGCUCCUGCUGCAUGGUGGGGGUUGGAAAGUUUCGGCGGUUGGGGAUGGACUCGCGGCUUAUCAGCUUGUUGGUGGGGUAGUGGCUUACCAAGGCUUUGACGGGUAGCCGGCCUGAGAGGGUGACCGGCCACAUUGGGACUGAGAUACGGCCCAGACUCCUACGGGAGGCAGCAGUGGGGAAUAUUGCACUAUGGGCGGAAGCCUGAUGCAGCAACGCCGCGUGCGGGAUGACGGCCUUCGGGUUGUAAACCGCUUUCGCCUGUGCCGAAGCGUGAGUGACGGUACUGGGUAAAGAAGCACCGGCUAACUACGUG